AAAAAUUUGGCGGUAUUUUAGUCUAUUCAGAGGAACCUGUUCUGUAAUCGAUAAUCCACGAUGGACCUUACUUAAGUUUGUAAUCAGUUUAUAUACCGUCGUUAUUAGAAUAUUUUAUAAGAAUGUUAAUUUUCAUGAUUUUUAAAAAGAAAAUAUAUCAGAUCAAGGUGUAGCUUAUAUUUAAGUAGAAAUGGGUUACAAUAAAUUUAUUUAAACGAAUAUAAAUUUGAAAUGUUUAUUGAAGGUGGAUUUGAUAGUAAAAUUAUAAAGAUUAAUAAUUUGAUUUUAGCUCUAAAAU
rnacentral:rRNA from 1 species